AUACUUGCCUGGCAGGGGAGACGCCAUGAUCAUGAAUGUGGUUCUCCCAGGGUGAAGCUCACCAUUGCACUCCAGAGGCGCAGCACCUGUUUUCCCCAAAUGAAAAAAAAAAAAGAAAGACAAGUUUGUCCUCCAUUGGAUCGACUUCAUUCUCCUCCUCC
rnacentral:snRNA from 1 species